rnacentral:rRNA from 1 species
AGAAUCAACGCUGGCGGCGCGCUUAACACAUGCAAGUCGCACGAGAAAGCCCGCAAGGGUGAGUAAAGUGGCGCACGGGUGAGUAACACGUGGGUAAUCUACCUUCCAGUGGGGAAUAACUCUGGGAAACCGGAGCUAAUACCGCAUAAGUCCGAGAGGAGAAAGCAGCAAUGCGCUGGAAGAGGAGUCCGCGGCCGAUUAGCUAGUUGGGGGGGUAAGAGCCCACCAAGGCAAAGAUCGGUAGCCGGCCUGAGAGGGCACACGGCCACACUGGCACUGAAACACGGGCCAGACUCCUACGGGAGGCAGCAGCGGGGAAUCUUGCACAAUGGGGGAAACCCUGAUGCAGCGACGCCGCGUGAGCGAUGAAGCCCUUCGGGGUGUAAAGCUCUUUCGGCAGGGACGAUAAUGACGGUACCUGCAGAAGCAGCUGCGGCUAACUACGUGCCAGCAGCCGCGGUAAUACGUAGGCAGCAAGCGUUGUUCGGAGUCACUGGGCGUAAAGGGUGUGUAGGCGGCCUUUUAAGUUUGGUGUGAAAUCUCCCGGCUCAACUGGGAGGGUGCGCCGAAUGCUGAAAGGCUAGAGUGCGGGAGAGGAGAGUGGAAUUCCUGGUGUAGCGGUGAAAUGCGUAGAUAUCAGGAGGAACACCGGCGGUGUAGACGGCUCUCUGGACCGUAACUGACGCUGAGACACGAAAGCGUGGGUAGCAAACAGGAUUAGAUACCCUGGUAGUCCACGCCCUAAACGAUGCACAUUUGGUGUGGGUCAUUCAGUUGAUCCGUGCCGGAGCUAACGCGUUAAAUGUGCCGCCUGGGGAGUACAGUCGCAAGGCUGAA